rnacentral:rRNA from 1 species
CCGCUGAACUUAAGCAUAUCAAUAAGCGGAGGAAAAAGAAACUAACAAGGGAUUCCCCUAGUAACUGCGAGUGAAGCGGGAAAAAGCUCAAAUUUAAAAUCUGGCGGUCUUUGGCCGUCCGAGUUGUAGUCUGGAGAAGUGCUUUCCGCGCUGGACCGUGUAUAAGUCUCUUGGAACAGAGCGUCAUAGAGGGUGAGAAUCCCGUCUUUGACACGGACUACCAGUGCUUUGUGAUGCGCUCUCAAAGAGUCGAGUUGUUUGGGAAUGCAGCUCAAAAUGGGUGGUGAAUUCCAUCUAAAGCUAAAUAUUGGCGAGAGACCGAUAGCGAACAAGUACCGUGAGGGAAAGAUGAAAAGCACUUUGGAAAGAGAGUUAAACAGUACGUGAAAUUGCUGAAAGGGAAACGCUUGAAGUCAGUCGCGUCGGCCGGAACUCAGCCUUGCUUUUGCUUGGUGCACUUUCCGGUUGACGGGCCAGCAUCGAUUUUGACCGUCGGAAAAGGGCUAGAGUAAUGUGGCACCUCCGGGUGUGUUAUAGACUCUAGUCGCAUACGGCGGUUGGGAUCGAGGAACGCAGCGCGCCGCAAGGCAGGGGUUUGCCCACUUUCGCGCUUAGGAUGCUGGCAUAAUGGCUUUAAACGACCCGUCUUGAAACACGGACCAAGGAGUCUAACAUACCUGCGAGUGUUUGGGUGGAAAACCCGAGCGCGUAAUGAAAGUGAAAGUUGGGACCUCUGUCGUGGAGGGCACCGACGCCCGGACCUGACGUUCUCUGACGGAUCCGCGGUAGAGCAUGUAUGUUGGGACCCGAAAGAUGGUGAACUAUGCCUGAAUAGGGUGAAGCCAGAGGAAACUCUGGUGGAGGCUCGUAGCGAUUCUGACGUGCAAAUCGAUCGUCAAAUUUGGGUAUAGGGGGCGAAAGACUAAUCGAACCCAUCUAGUAGCUGGGUUCCUGCCGAAGUUUUCCCCUCCAGGA